GUGCAAAGAGACAGAGAUGCAGACUUGACCUUUCCCAAUUUUUCGUCCAGACUCCCAAUGAUAAAGGGAAGAGAGGGAGAGAGUGUCCGUGUUUGUGAGAGAGAGAGAGAGAGAGAGGUAUACUGUUUGUUUGUGCUGUGGUGAAGUUUCCGAAGCAGGUGAGGCAAAUAUGGCUGGGAAUGGAGAGUGUGUGUCGAUCGGAAUCGAUCUGGGCACGACCUACUCGUGUGUGGGAGUGUGGCUGAAGCAGAAAGAACGGGCGGAGAUCAUAGUGAACGAGCAGGGCAACAGGACGACUCCGUCGUACGUGGCGUUCACCGCUGCGGAACGUCUCAUCGGCGAGGGCGCCAAGAAUCAGGUCGCCACGAACCCCACCAACACCAUCUUCGACGCUAAACGAUUGAUUGGUCGGAGAUUUAAUGAUGAGUUAGUGCAAAGUGACAUGAAAGUCUGGCCUUUCAAAGUUGUAGCUGGUCAAGGGGAUAAGCCCAUGAUCGAGGUCACCUACAAAGAUAAGCAGAAGCAAUUUGCUGCGGAGGAGAUAUCAUCAAUGGUGCUCCUGAAGAUGCGGGAGAUUGCAGAGGCCUUUCUUGGUUCAACUGUAAAGGACGCGGUUGUCACUGUUCCGGCCUACUUCAAUGACUCACAGCGCCAGGCCACCAAGGAUGCUGGACUUAUUGCUGGCUUGAAUGUCAUGAGCAUCUUAAAUGAGCCCACUGCUGCUGCCAUUGCCUAUGGGUUGGAAAAGAAUGCGGGUAGUGAUAUAUACAAAACUGUGCUUAUCUUUGAUCUUGGUGGGGGGACUUUUGAUGUCUCGCUUCUGACUAUGAAGCAGGGUGUCUUUGAAGUGAAGGCCACAACAGGUGACACUCACCUUGGAGGAGAAGACUUUGAUAAUAGAAUGGUGAAGUAUUUCGUUGAGGAGUUCAAGAGGAGGCAAAAGAAGAACAUAGAAGGAAGCCCCAAAGCUCUUCGGAGGCUAAGGACUGCUUGUGAGAGAGCCAAAAGGUAUCUCUCAUUGACUACAGAAACCAGCAUUGAGAUCGAUUGUCUAUUCGAGGGUAUUGAUUUCUCCACAACAGUUACUCGUGCUAGAUUUGAGAAUAUGAACAUGGAUCUCUUCAAGAAGUGUAUGGAGCUGGUUGAAAAAUGUUUAACGGAUGCCAAUGUGAGCAAAAGCAGCAUCCACGAUGUUGUCCUUGUUGGUGGCUCUGCAAGAAUUCCCAAGGUGCAGCAGAUGUUGCAGGAUUUAUUCAACGGGAAGGAACUAUGCAAGAGAAUCAACCCUGAUGAGGCUGUUGCCUACGGUGCAGCUGUUCGAGCUGCAAUUUUGGGUGGAAACGCUACCAAGCAAAUCCAGGACCUAGUAUUAUUGGAUGUUACCCCUCUGUCUCUCGGCACGUCAGUGGAGGAUGGUGUUAUGUCGGUUUUGGUUCCGAGAAACACUAGUAUUCCCACCAAGAAGGAGCAAACGUUCACUACUACGCAGGAUAACCAGACUAGUAUCUUGAUUGAUGUGUACCAGGGUGAGAGAACAAGAGUUAGCGACAAUCAUUUUCUCGGUGAAUUCCACUUUGCCAAUAUUCCUCCUGCCCCCGCACGUAGUCCUACGAUCAACGUCUGUUUUGAGAUUGAUGCAAAUGGUAUCCUACACGUCUCCGCUGAAGACAGGGCAACUAGGCAGACAGGCGGGAUCACCAUAACCAAUGAAAAUGCGAGAUUGUCCAAAGUAGAGAUUGAUAGAAUGUUACAGGAGGCGGUGAAGUACAGGGCUGAAGAUGAGGAGCUCAAGAAGAAGACGGAAGCUAAGAAUGCACUCGAGGUCUAUGUGUAUAAGCUCAAAGAUGCUAUCCUGGAUCAAAAUAUUACUACCAAACUGUCACUAGCUCAAAAGCGGGAGACGGAAGAUGCAAUCGAGGAGGCCAUUCAGUGGUUGGAUUGCAGCCGGUUUUCAGAAGUAUUGGAAUUUGAAGAAAAGCAGCAUUAUCUGGAAAACAUUUGGAACCCUAUUAUCACCAAGAUUUACAAGUGAAAGUGAAACAAACAGGUGACUAAUUUGAAAUAGCCAACACAGCUUGCUUAAAUAAUAUUGCAAUAUUUGGAUGCAUGAUGGUGGCCUCUCUCAGCAAUCAGGGUCAUUUUUGUUGGUUUUAUCCGCUAUUUGAGGGCUUAAAAUUAAAGUUGAAAUAAGGUACCGAGUGGUGCUUGGUCAACGAGUACUGUAAAAUUGUAUUUAUGUUUCUACUGAAAAGCAGUUGCAUUAUGCUUCUUACCAUUUUUAUGGUGGUGGUACCCCACUACCUAUCACUAGGUACUUCAAUACAAUUUUAAGCCGUUGGAAUAAAA